UGGGGAAUUUUGGACAAUGGGCGCAAGCCUGAUCCAGCCAUGCCGCGUGCGGGAAGAAGGCCUUCGGGUUGUAAACCGCUUUUGUCAGGGAAGAAAUCUUCUGAGUUAAUACCUCGGGAGGAUGACGGUACCUGAAGAAUAAGCACCGGCUAACCACGUGCCAGCAGCCGCGGUAAUACGUAGGGUGCAAGCGUUAAUCGGAAUUACUGGGCGUAAAGCGUGCGCAGGCGGUUUUGUAAGACAGAGGUGAAAUCCCCGGGCUCAACCUGGGAACUGCCUUUGUGACUGCAAGGCUUGAGUGCGGCAGAGGGGGAUGGAAUUCCGCGUGUAGCAGUGAAAUGCGUAGAUAUGCGGAGGAACACCGAUGGCGAAGGCAAUCCCCUGGGCCUGCACUGACGCUCAUGCACGAAAGCGUGGGGAGCAAAACAGGAUUAGAUACCCUGGUAGUCCACGCCCUAAACGAUGUCAACUGGUUGUUGGGAAGGUUCCUUCUCAGUAACGUAGCUAACGCGUGAAGUUGACCGCCUGGGGAGUACGGCCGCAAGGUUGAAACUUAAAGGAAUUGAC
rnacentral:rRNA from 1 species